UCAUGAGAAAACUGCUGGUGUCUCUUGGAUGGGGAAAUAACAUGAGACUUGUGCUUUGUGCUUUGACAGCUGAGUGGACUGAAUUGGAGACAAAAAACAGAUGAGUCAGGGAGAGCAAAUAGGGUUUGCAACAAUCCAGGAGGGAGUACCUGAACUAGAGUGGUGGCCAUGUGAAUCGGGAGAAGAGGACAGGUUUAAGAGAUGUGUUCAUAGAAACAACAUGAUAUGGCAACUAGUGUUCUAUGUUGGGAGCAGCAGAGAGAAGAGAUUCCAUCUUCCAGAGUCUACCACUGUCUUCCUCCCUUCCCACUGGUCCCCAGCUUUGUGUUUUUGUUUUUGUUUAUUUCUUUUUAAGUAAUAGAAUAAUACUAUCAGGGAUUUAAUGUUCCCUGAUAGGCUGGUAUGAGUGUAAAGUCUGACUCUAUGUUUAAUUGUCCUGAAAUAUGAAUUAAAAUGUUAUUUUUAUCUCUUGAAAAGUGA